AUUGAACGCUGGCGGCAGGCCUAACACAUGCAAGUCGAACGAGUGGCGGACGGGUGAGUAAUGUCUGGGAAACUGCCUGAUGGAGGGGGAUAACUACUGGAAACGGUAGCUAAUACCGCAUACUAUCAGAUGAGCCUAGGUCGGAUUAGCUAGUUGGUGGGGUAAAGGCCUACCAAGGCGACGAUCCGUACCUGGUCUGAGAGGAUGACCAGCCACACUGGAACGGAGACACGGUCCAGAUUCCUACGGGAGGCAGCAGUGGUGAAUAUUGGACAAUGGGCGAAAGCCUGAUCCAGCCAUGCCGCGUGUUUGAAGAAGGUCUUCGGAUUGUAAAGCACUUUAAGUUGGGAGGCGUUACCAACAGAAUAAGCACCGGCUAACUUCGUGCCAGCCGCCGCGGUAAUUC
rnacentral:rRNA from 1 species